GGGGGUGUAGCUCAGUGGUAGAGCGCAUGCUUAGCAUGCACGAGGUCCUGGGUUCAAUCCCAGCACCUCCA
rnacentral:tRNA from 1 species